UACGAAGGGGGCUAGCGUUGCUCGGAAUUACUGGGCGUAAAGCGCACGUAGGCGGAUUGUUAAGUCGGGGGUGAAAUCCUGGAGCUCAACUCCAGAACUGCCUUCGAUACUGGCGAUCUCGAGUCCGGGAGAGGUGAGUGGAACUGCGAGUGUAGAGGUGAAAUUCGUAGAUAUUCGCAAGAACACCAGGUGGCGAAGGCGGCUCACUGGCCCGGUACUGACGCUGAGGUGCGAAAGCGUGGGGAGCAAACAGG
rnacentral:rRNA from 1 species